GGGUCGUUAGCUCAGCUGGUAGAGCAGUUGACUUUUAAUCAAUUGGUCGCUGGUUCGAAUCCAGCACGACCCA
rfam:Paraglaciecola psychrophila 170 chromosome, complete genome.